rnacentral:rRNA from 1 species
UACGUGGGGGGCAAGCGUUGUCCGGAUUUAUUGGGCGUAAAGAGCGUGUAGGCGGCCAGACAGGUCCGUUGUGAAAACUGGAGGCUCAACCUCCAGACGUCGAUGGAAACCGUCUGGCUAGAGUCCGGAAGAGGAGAGUGGAAUUCCUGGUGUAGCGGUGAAAUGCGCAGAUAUCAGGAAGAACACCCGUGGCGAAAGCGGCUCUCUGGGACGGUACUGACGCUGAGACGCGAAAGCGUGGGGAGCGAACAGG